GUCCCAGUUCGGACUGCAGUCUGCAACUCGACUGCACGAAGCUGGAAUCGCUAGUAAUCGCGAAUCAGAAUGUCGCGGUGAGUACGUUCCCGGGUCUUGUACACACCGCCCGUCACACCAUGGGAGUCGGUAACGCCCGAAGUCAGUGACCCAACCGUAAGGAGGGAGCUGCCGAAGGCGGGACUGGUAACUGGGGUGAAGUCGUAACAAGGUACC
rnacentral:rRNA from 1 species